rnacentral:rRNA from 1 species
AUGGAGAGGAUCCAGAGCAGCAACAGCAACAGCGUGAGGAACCAUUUCGUCCUGGUUCACGGCCUCUGCCACGGGGCGUGGUGCUGGUACAAGGUGAUCGUGGCGCUCGAGGCCGCGGGGCACCGCGUCACGGCAGUCGACCUCGCCGCGUCCGGCGCCCACCCAGCGCGCAUCGACGAGGUGCACUCGUUCGAAGAGUACUCUCGGCCGCUGCUCGACGUGGUGGCCGCAGCUCCCGAGGGUGGCAGCGAGAGGCUGAUCCUUGUCGGGCACAGCCACGGCGGCCUCAGCAUCGCGCUAACGAUGGAGAGGUUCCCCGGCAAGGUCGCCACGGCCGUGUUCGUGGCAGCCGCGAUGCCGUGCGUUGGCAAGCACAUGGGCGUCACAACCGAGGAGUUCAUGAGAAGAGCAUCAUCGGAAGGACUGCUCAUGGACUGCGAGAUGCUGGCAAUCAACAACAACCAGGGUGUAGGUGUUGCAAUCAUAGUGGGCCCAGACUUCUUAGCUCACAAGGGUUACCAGCAAAGUCCACCUGAGGAUUUGGCCCUGGCAAAAAUGUUGGUGAGGCCUGGAAACCAAUUCGUGGAUGAUCCAGUGAUGAAGGACGCAGGGCUGCUCACCGAACGCAACUAUGGGUCGGUGAAGAAGCUAUACGUGGUUGCCAAGGCAGAUGUUUCCAGCACUGAGGAGAUGCAACGCUGGAUGGUGGUUCUGAGCCCUGGAACGGAAGUCGAGGAGAUUGCAGGAGCUGACCACGCCAUCAUGAGCUCCAAGCCCAAGGAGCUAUGUGAUGUCCUGGUCAAGAUAGCCAACAACUUCAAUAUUUAG